AACAGGAUUAGAUACCCUGGUAGUACACGCCGUAAACGAUGUCGACUUGGAGGUUGUUCCCUUGAGGAGUGGCUUCCGGAGCUAACGCGUUAAGUCGACCGCCUGGGGAGUACGGCCGCAAGGUUAAAACUCAAAUGAAUUGACGGGGGCCCGCACAAGCGGUGGAGCAUGUGGUUUAAUUCGAUGCAACGCGAAGAACCUUACCUACUCUUGACAUCCAGAGAGCUUAGCAGAGAUGCUUUGGUGCCUUCGGGAACUCUGAGACAGGUGCUGCAUGGCUGUCGUCAGCUCGUGUUGUGAAAUGUUGGGUUAAGUCCCGCAACGAGCGCAACCCUUAUCCUUUGUUGCCAGCGGGUUAUGCCGGGAACUCAAAGGAGACUGCCAGUGAUAAACUGGAGGAAGGUGGGGAUGACGUCAAGUCAUCAUGGCCCUUACGAGUAGGGCUACACACGUGCUACAAUGGCGCAUACAAAGAGAAGCGACCUCGCGAGAGCAAGCGGACCUCAUAAAGUGCGUCGUAGUCCGGAUCGGAGUCUGCAACUCGACUCCGUGAAGUCGGAAUCGCUAGUAAUCGUAGAUCAGAAUGCUACGGUGAAUACGUUCCCGGGCCUUGUACACACCGCCCGUCACACCAUGGGAGUGGGUUGCAAAAGAAGUAGGUAGCUUAACCUUCGGGAGGGCGCUUACCACUUUGUGAUUCAUGACUGGGGUGAAGUCGUAACAAGGUAACC
rnacentral:rRNA from 1 species